UACGAAGGGGGCUAGCGUUGCUCGGAAUUACUGGGCGUAAAGGGCGCGUAGGCGGAUACUUAAGUCGGGGGUGAAAGCCCAGGGCUCAACCCUGGAACAGCCUUCGAUACUGGGUAUCUUGAGUACGGGAGAGGUGUGUGGAACUCCGAGUGUAGAGGUGAAAUUCGUAGAUAUUCGGAAGAACACCGGUGGCGAAGGCGGUCUGCUGGGCAGUUGCUGACACUGAGGCGCGACAGCGUGGGGAGCAAACAGG
rnacentral:rRNA from 1 species